AUUGAACGCUGGCGGCAGGCCUAACACAUGCAAGUCGAGCGAGCGGCGGACGGGUGAGUAAUGUCUGGGAAACUGCCCGCUGGAGGGGGGUAACUACUGGAAACGGUAGCUAAUACCGCAUACCAUCAGAUGUGCCCCGAUGGGAGUAGCUGGUAGGUGGGGUAACGGCUCACCUAGGCGACGAUCCCUAGCUGGUCUGAGAGGAUGACCAGCCACACUGGAACUGAGACACGGUCCAGACUCCUACGGGAGGCAGCAGUGGGGAAUAUUGCACAAUGGGCGCAAGCCUGAUGCAGCCAUGCCGCGUGUGUGAAGAAGGCCUUCGGGUUGUAAAGCACUUUCAGCGGGGAGGCGUUACCCGCAGAAGAAGCACCGGCUAACUCCGUGCCAGCAGCCGCGGUAAUUC
rnacentral:rRNA from 1 species